rnacentral:lncRNA from 1 species
AUGGCCAGCCAAAGCAAGAACAAAGGAAGAAAAGAAGAACAAGAACCCUAGAGUGAAAAUUCAAGAGAAAAUUGGUGGAUUUCAAGUAAUCAAGUAAUUAAAGGUAAAAUUUCUUGAUUUUGACUUGUGAUCUACCUUUCCCAUGCAUUAUUUUGCAUUUUUCAUGGUUGAAUCACAAGAUAUCAUGAAGGAUGGUGUGCUGAUCAAACCCUAGGAGAAAGAAUUUGAUGAUGAUUUAAAUAGAUUUUUAAGAUAUAUGGAUGUUUUUAGUUGUUUAUGGUGUUAAGUGUAAGAAUUAAGCUUGAAAUUCACAUAUUCCUCAUGAGUUCAUCAUUGGCCGAAUCUUCCUUGUAGAGUGUUGAUGGUGGAUUUGAUUUUAUUUCAAGUGAAUUGGUUAGGAAAUGAUGAAUUAUGGUGAAAAAAUCAAGUAGGAAAAAUCAUAGUGUUGAUGCACUCACCAUGGCCGAAAUUCUCAAGAAGAAAUGUGAAGAUGAUUUUGCCAUAUUUCAAGUUAUUUAAUUUGUGUUUGAUGAUUUGGAGUAUUGGGAGAAAAAUGGAAUUAUUUGGAGUUGAAUUGGACAUAUUGGCCAAUUAAUCGAGUGAUAGAUCGAAUUAGGCCAAUACCGUUUUAUUUAGGUACACAAUUGAAUUUGUGUAGAACACUGUGUUUAGACGAUAAUCUGAACAAUUUACAUCCCAUUUCAUGCAUUAGUAUAGAGCCUGAAUUGGUUUUAUAACAAUUUAGCACAAACGUAGUAAAUGGCUUAUUGUGCAUUAUGUCUAGGUAGUGAGCAUUCUGGCAAAAGUAAAGAGAUAGUACCUGAGGAUUAAGAAACGGAGUACUCGAAAUUCGACUCCCAAAAUAGUGAGUAACCUUAUCAUCAUCUUGAUUAUUUGAAGUGAAUUUUAACUCGUUUUUGUGAUUUUAUGGAAAAUGAGUUUAAAUGGUAAAUCUUUAUGUUUUAUAAGCAAAAUGUGAUUAAAUGAAAUGAUUUUGUAAAAUUGUCUUGAAAUUGAAAGAUAGUUUUGAAAAUGGAGUAAUUGGAGACUAAUUGCUGUGUUAUAAAUCAUGGUUUGAACUGAAUGGCUUAUGAUAAUAUUGGCAUGAAUAGUUGAAUUAGCAAAUGUGCUGAAAAUGUAUGAACUGUUGAUUUACCUUGAGGGGCUAUAAAAUAAAAUAAUUGCCAUGUCAUGUUAUCACAAAUUUUAUUGUAUGUUGGGUUAUAAUUGGUCGCUGCAGUGGACGGGUUUCGUGGAUCAGCCUAUUAGAGGGGUACGGUAACCCUAUUAUAUUCAUACCUCAAUAUGAGAGGCGCGGUUGGAUAACUCCUGAGGUUAAAACUUUAGAGUUCACUUCAUGCCAAACCACCACGUGAGGGUGAACUCAGCCAAAGUAAAAAAACGGCUAUGUUUUCAAAAUAAAAACAUGAUUUAUGCAUACAUAACUUUUUAACAGCCUUGGCAGACUCGGUUGGAAUAGCCCUCAGCCAAGGUAUCCCUGAUAACUGAGUAUGAGAAUGAUUUUGGCACGAGCCAAACUUUUCAGGAAAUCAUAUGCCUCAUUAUUUAUUUUGAUGAAAUGAAUCUAUUCUAUCUUAUUAAAAUGAGUUCGAAAUGCUGAGAAUCAUUUUUAUGCUUAUCUAUUUUAUCUGUCUUCAUUUACUCAGAUUUAGAUAUUUUAGAUGGUAUUUGUUUACUCAUUGGGAUUAUAUAAUCUCACCACCUUCAUUUCCACCCAUUUCAGGCUCAAGAUAGUCGGUAGAUAGCUCACUUUGUUGAGGGCUACAGUUGGACUUGCAUCCUCAAAAAUUGUUGGUUUAUUGCUUUUGAUACUUUUGGUCGUUCGUGCGCCAACGUGUCACUGUAAAUUAAAUUUUAUACUUUGGUUAUCUGUAUUACAGUAUGUAUGAAUUUAUUUAAUUUUUAUGCUGUAAAAAUUAUUUAACGGUAACCCU